UACGUAGGGGGCGAGCGUUGUCCGGAUUUAUUGGGCGUAAAGAGCUCGUAGGCGGUUUGGCAAGUCGGGUGUGAAACCUCCAGGCUCAACCUGGAGUCGCCACCCGAUACUGCUAUGACUUGAGUCUGGUAGGGGAUCACGGAAUUCCUGGUGUAGCGGUGAAAUGCGCAGAUAUCAGGAAGAACACCCGUGGCGAAAGCGGCUCUCUAGAACGGUACUGACGCUGAGACGCGAAAGCGUGGGGAGCGAACAGG
rnacentral:rRNA from 1 species